GCCGAUUGCCCUCCAGGUGAUUUUUAUGCCCACUAAAGUCUGAGCAGCAUUGGCCUAGGACACAGCUGUUUAAAAAACUCUCCUGCUGAGAUAGACAAGAAAAAUAAAUUUGGAUGAUUUCUGGACUUUAGAUUCCUUAACCUUUAACUCACAUUGGUGCAGUGGCUCAUGCCUGUAAUCCCAGCAUUUGGGAAGGCUGAGGUAGACGGGACCUGAGCCCAGGAGUUGGAGACCAGCCUGGGCAACAUCACGACAUCCCAUCUCUACAAAAAAUUAAAAUUAGCCAGGCGUGGUGGUAUGUGCCUGCAACUCCAGCUACUCAGGAACCUGAGGUGUUUGGGAGGAUCACUUGAGCCUGGGAAGGCGAGGCUGCAGUGAUCCGCGAUCGCACCACGGGACUCCAACCUGGGUGACACAGCAAGACUGUCUCAGAAAGAAGGAAGGGGUGGAUUUCUAUUCCAAUUUGGAGCUGUUCUAACCUGUAGCAUUUUAUAUAGGAAUGUCUUCAUAUUGUCAUUUAGUCUCAUCACAAACCUCUGAUAGACCAUACGGUUGCAUAUAAUUAAGAUAGGAAAUAAAAUAAUAGGGGGCGAUUUUCAGUCUUGGGGAUAGUCAUGGAAAUAAUUUAAUGAAUGUUCUGUUCUGACCCAUUUUAGAACCUUAGCAUACAUCUCCUUCCUUAAGGGUAUGACCAUAAUAGCUACAUGCUUAACUGAGU
rnacentral:antisense_RNA from 1 species